rnacentral:rRNA from 1 species
CGCAGCCACGGUAAUACGUAGGUGGCAAGCGUUGUCCGGAUUUAUUGGGCGUAAAGCGAGCGCAGGCGGUUUCUUAAGUCUGAUGUGAAAGCCCCCGGCUCAACCGGGGAGGGUCAUUGGAAACUGGGAGACUUGAGUGCAGAAGAGGAGAGUGGAAUUCCAUGUGUAGCGGUGAAAUGCGUAGAUAUAUGGAGGAACACCAGUGGCGAAGGCGGCUCUCUGGUCUGUAACUGACGCUGAGGCUCGAAAGCGUGGGGAGCGAACAGGAUUAGAUACCCCCGUAGUCCCUGUCUCUUAUACA